CCUCCCCUGCCCGUGCCUCCUCCUCCCCCAUCGCUCCCCCUUCCCCGGGCCCGCUCCUCGCCGGCCGUAGCUUCCGAGCGCGGCCACCAGGGGGCGCCCGGGCCGAGGCCCCUCUCGGCCAACUUCUGUGGUGUCUUCCGUGGACAAGGCUGGGCGCCGAAUUCGGGGACACGGACUGACAUCGCCUAAAGCAUCUGAUGCGCAGAUCCUGGCGGGAGUUAACAGCGAAAGAGGCAGGAGUGGGCAGGCACUCCCAGACUGGCUGGGAAGGCAGAACUCAAAGGAAAUCCAGGGAAGCUGGUACCCGGAGCAACUCCGUCUCGGCCAAGCGCACGUCUGGCGACCGUGGCAGAACAGGCCAGAGUGCCCGGAUGGUGGGAGAGAUCAGUGUGUCUCCACGUUCCCCACACACAGAGCUCUGAGAACUGCAGCUGCAACCAAAGAGAAGUCCUUUAAAGAGCCCCUGGUCCCUGAGGCUCCAAAGCUCCCACUGCACUGGGGUCGAUCCCUCCUGUGAAUACGGGCUGUGGAGAUGGAGGAAGUGGUGCCUGGUCCCGGGUCCACAGACCCAGGGCGUGGUGCGGAGGACACGCUCAGGAGGGAAGUCUUGUGGCGCCCUGCUCCUGGCUAGAGCCCUCUCUCCCUUGAGGCACCAGGCUGCUUGCAUUAGCUGCGGGAAGAGGAAGAAAGCCAGGUGGGGAAGGCAGAAGAGCGCGAUUUGGUCUGUUUUCCUCUCUACCUACAGCACCACUUUCCAGCUUUCUGGGAGCUGUGGUCGGCAAGGGCCACCAAACGGUGUCCCCUCACGAUUGGCGCUGCCCCUCUCAUUGGCCAGUGUGCUCCAGAUCUCAACUGCUCCCCGAAAGUGGCAUCAUUACUAUUGCCCCAUUUCAAGUGACAGUCACAGCCCAACGCACCACAGGCUAUAAUGGGAUUUACCCCUGACGGUGUUCCAAGCAGAGAGGAAAAACAACAUCCCCCCGCCCCCCACACACACAGAGCAACAGCACAGCUCUAUGAUUGGCGUGAAUUAUCAGAGAUCACGGGGUGCAGCCUCUUAACCCUUCAGAUGGGUGGCAG
rnacentral:lncRNA from 1 species